rnacentral:rRNA from 1 species
CGCCUCUUGUGCCCCUAAAAUAAGAGGUCCUGCCUGCCCUGUGACAAUAUGUUUAACGGCCGCGGUAUUUUAACCGUGCGAAGGUAGCGCAAUCACUUGUCUUUUAAAUAAAGACCUGUAUGAAUGGCAUAACGAGGGCUUAGCUGUCUCCUCUUUCAAGUCAAUGAAACUGAUCUUUCCGUGCAGAAGCGGAAAUUUAAACAUAAGACGAGAAGACCCUGUGGAGCUUUAGACACUAUGAUAGCUUAUAUUAAUACCUCCAAAGUAAAGGAGAAAGAAACUAAAUUGCUCUACCCUAAUGUCUUUGGUUGGGGCGACCCCGGGGAAUUAAAUAACCCCCAUGUGGAAUGGGAGAACUACUCCUACAACUAAGAGUUACAACUCUAAUAAACAAAAAUUCUGACCAACAAGAUCCGGCAAUACCGAUCAACGAACCAAGUUACCCCAGGGAUAACAGCGCAAUCCUCUUUUAGAGCCCAUAUCGACAAGAGGGUUUACGACCUCGAUGUUGGAUCAGGGCAUCCUAAUGGUGCAGCCGCUAUUAAGGGUUCGUUUGUUCAACGAUUAAAGUCCU